AUGAACGCUAGCUACAGGCUUAACACAUGCAAGGUCGAGGGGAAACGACAUCGAAAGCUUGCUUUUGGUGGGCGUCGACCGGCGGACGGGUGAGUAACACGUGGGUAACCUGCCUCAUAGAGGGGAAUAGCCUUUCGAAAGGAAGAUUAAUACCGCAUAUGGUAGCUUUACCGCAUGGUAGUGCUACUAAAGGAGCAAUCCGCUAUGAGAUGGACCCGCGUCGCAUUAGCUAGUUGGUGAGGUAACGGCUCACCAAGGCGACGAUGCGUAGCCGACCUGANAGGGUGAUCGGCCACAUUGGAACUGAGACACGGUCCAAACUCCUACGGGAGGCAGCAGUGAGGAAUAUUGGUCAAUGGAGGCAACUCUGAACCAGCCAAGUAGCGUGCAGGAUGACGGCCCUAUGGGUUGUAAACUGCUUUUAUGCGGGGAUAAACUGACUCACGUGUGGGUCAUUGCAGGUACCGCAUGAAUAAGGACCGGCUAAUUCCGUG
rnacentral:rRNA from 1 species